GUUUAUAAAAGCAAUAACGAUCAAAUCAAUUAAUUAUUAUUAAUAUAUUUUUUAUUUAUUAAUUUCGUUAUUUCCUUGAGGCGUUUUGUGAAGAUACGCCAUUGCACGUAUAAAAAAAUAACAAUAAUAAGCUAUACGAUAAAACUCGAACGGGCUGACCAAUGAACAAUAAAGCUUCACAGACUAAGAUUCAACAUCGCGCCCAUAUCGAUAUGCUCGCUGUCGAAUUCGGUUUUGACUCGGAUGUUUUAGUUAGUCAUGUUUGGAAGAAUAUAUAGUUGAGUUUUUGUCAAAAUCACAGCACAGUCCGGGUGCUGAUCGACACUGUAGGUUUAUAAAAAAAUCGAAAUUAUUCCCGAUUAAAUGUUUGGCGCUGCGCAGACAGACCUUCAUAUGACAUCACAGUCCCGCGAGAGCAGACUGCGCCAUAUGCGACUUGAUUUUACACGUCAGUCGGUCUGCAUAGCGCAAUAAAUAGUUGAAAAAAAAUAUUUUUACCCGUUAGGGUUGAAAUGAGUUCAUCUUACACAUCCAUGUUAGUUUAAACUGUUUGUGGGUAUAGAGGGUUUGAGACAUAUAUUUAUGAUUGGCCUCUUAGCGGUUAUGUUCUGCAAAUAGUUUUCUAUUAAGUGAAGAGCUGAAAAGAAUCCUAAAGAAUACAACGAUCAACAAUUGGCCAUUAAUGAGAUAAGUGAUGAAAUGACUCCGUAACAUUUAUUUUCAUGUGCACUUGCAGGUUCGUGUAGAAAUGACACGUGACAGUUCGGUGACGUAAUUCAUGCAGGCAUAAACAGAGACCGAAGAUGGCGGCUGACAGUGAUCCCGAGUCUGAAGUGUUUGAGAUAACAGAUUUCACUACUGCAUCUGAGUGGGAAAGAUUUAUAUCCAGAGUUGAGGAAGUGCUGAAUGACUGGAAGCUGAUUGGUAGUCGGGUUGGGAAUCCUCCUGAGAAGGGUGAAUAUACCAGCGGCAUCUGGGAGGAAACAUGUCAGGACAUCAACUUUGCCGAUUUCAAGUUCACUAUCACACAUCAUUAUCUCAAACAAGAGUCAACAGAGAAACGCUUCAAGGUCGAAGCAGAAGAAGAUGCGACUCCGCAGUGCAUGCAGGAUCUGCUCUGUAUGAACAAUGACUUUCCUCCGCGAGCACACUGUCUGGUCAGAUGGUACGGUUUGCGUGAGUUUGUGGUGAUUUCUCCGGGGGCGAACUGUGAGGCCAUCAUCAGCGAGUCCAAAUGUAAUCUGCUGCUUAGUUCAGUGUCCAUCGCUCUGACCAACACAGGCUGUCAGGUGCCUCUGUUUGUGCAGAUCCAGCAGAAGUGGAGAAGAAUGUACGCUGGUGAAUGUCAGGGCCCCGGCGCACGCACAGACUUUGAGAUGGUGCAUCUCCGAAAGGUUCCAAGCCAGUACAACCACCUGUCCGGCCUUCUGGACGUCUUCAAGAACAAGAUUGGCUGCGCGCUGACGCCCAUGCCGCCCAUCAGUAUCUCCAUCCGCUUCACAUAUGUCCUCCAGGACUGGCAGCAGUGCUCGUGGCCUCAACAGCCUCCAGACUUCGAUGCGCUUCUCGCCGGUGAGGUGGGCGGAGUGGAGUUUGGCAAACUUCCUUUUGGUGCCUGUGAAGAUCCAAUCAGCGAGUUGCAUCUUUCAACGACGUGGCCCAACCUGACUGAAGGAAUUGUUGUGGAUAAUGACGUUUAUUCCGACUUGGAUCCUCUUCAAGCUCCUCAUUGGUCCGUAAGAGUGCGGAAAGCAGACAAUCCUCAAUGUUUGCUGGGUGAUUUCCUCACGGAGUUCUUCAAACUGUGUUGUCGAAAGGAAACCACAGAGGAGAUUCUGGGGAGGAACUCAGUGGAGGAGGAGGUGAAAGAGAACAGUGACAUCACACAAGCAUUGUCUAAACUGACUGAGCCCACGGCCGUGCCCAUCCACAAGCUUUCUGUGUCCAACAUGGUUCACAGCGCACGCAAACGGAUACGACGACACCGACGGCUUGAGGAGUCGCCUCUGAACAACGACGUGUUGAAUUCAAUCCUGCUAUAUCUUUUCCCAGAUUCAGCGCUGGAUAAAACCGACUCCAGUGAUGUCAAAUCCACAGCGCACAGCCCCUCCAGAAAGACUGAGAAGGACAAAGACUCUGAGGAUUGUAAUCUCUGUAAUCAACUGAAGUCGUCUCCUUCAGACAGUGUGACGUGUCGUCUGGCCUUGUGCAUGUGUUUGGUGAACGUCUAUCACGGGGGGGUGCGAGCGGUCGCUCACCUGUGGCAGGAGUUUGUGUUGGAGAUGAGAUAUCGCUGGGAAAACAACUGUCUCAUCUUUGGUCUGGCGAGUGGAGCUCCUGAUCUCAGGUGUUGUCUUCUUCAUCAGAAACUUCAGAUGCUGAACUGCUGCAUCGAGCGCAAGAGAGCGAGGGAUGACGGAAAGAAGAGUGAAGGGGGCCGAGAAAAGAACCGGCCCAGUGCGGAUGCCACGGGGCCAUCGGUCGGGUCUGUGGAAGUUUCACCUGGAAAGUCCUGGGACUCGUGGAGCGACAGCGAGGAUGAAUUCUUUGAGUGUCUGAGUGACACAGACGAGAUCAAGGAGGCGGAGACUGAACGGGACAAGAAAACGACCAAUAAGAGCAAAGCAGAGGGACGAUUACAGCCGCAUGGAAAACUGACGCUGAGAAACUCUAGCGAGCCGCUCUACAUCCCCAUCACACAGGAGCCUGCACCCAUGACAGAAGAUCUGCUGGAGGAACAGUCGGAGGUUUUGUCUAAACUGGGCACAUCAGCUGAAGGAGCUCAGCUCCGAGCCCGUAUGCAGAGCGCAUGUCUCCUGUCAGACAUGGAGUCCUUUAAGGCGGCUAACCCGGGCUGUUGCCUGCAGGACUUUGUGCGCUGGUACUCCCCGAGAGACUACGUGGAGGAGGAGGUGACCGAUGAGGCGGGACAGACGGUGGUACGGGGUGACCUGAGCGCCCGUAUGAAGAUCCCAGGUAACAUGUGGGCAGAGGCGUGGGACACAGCGAAGGCAACGCCGGCACGACGUCAGAAGAGACUGUUUGAUGACACUAAAGAGGCUGAGAAGGUGCUACACUAUCUGGCGGUGCAGAAACCGUCUGAUCUGAUGAGACAUCUUCUGCCCUGUGUCCUACACGCUUCUAUUCUUAAAAUAAAGGAUGAAGAGUCGACAGAAGACAUCCCAUCUGUGCCUAAAACCCUCCAGCAGGUGACGGCUCAAGCCAGUAAACUGCUUCACCAGCCCAACCCAGACGUCAAGAAGCUGGAGGAGGUUAUAAGUCAGUUGAUGUCUCUGGAGGCCGUCAUCGCUCGCGCUCGCUCGCUUAAGGCAAAGUUUGGCAUCGGUGGUGCAGACACAGAGGAUUGUGAGGAGCUGGAGAGGUUCGUGAGCUGUCUGUUGGAGGAUCCGGAGGUGUCUGUGAUCGGUGCAGGUCGAGGUCCUGCUGGCAGCAUCAUCCAUAAGCUUUUCGUCAGUUCUCAGCGGGUAAAUGCACCUCACACACCUCACACAGUGCUGCUGGAUCAUCCACAUGUGGUGCGAGUCUAACGUCUGAAAACUCCCAGCAUCCCUCUGCUCUAACGCCGUCAUCUCUGUGUUAAACCCUCCAGCGGUCUGAGAUGAGUGCUUGACACAUUCAAACACACAACACAACAUCUCACAGCAUGAUUGCAUGAAGUAAAGGAGCUUGUGUUGGCUGUGAAUAAAAUGCAUCAGAUGUUUUACUAACGUGACACAGAUGUCAUCAAACACGCUUUAUUUCAGUAAGAACUCUCUCCUCUCACUACACCCGCCGUCUCAUCCCAGGGUUUGAUCCGUCUGAUCCAGAUGAAUCUGUUUGAAAAUACACUUUUUACAUUGAAGUGUGGACUGAAACAGUGAAGAUACAAUAGAAACACAAGAGGUGUUUUUUGACUAAAGCCUCAUACACACAGAGGAUCCAUCAGUGUCAAGAAGAAGAUUUGAAGAUAAAAAUGCUGAUGUGGAUGUAACUUUAGAUCGGUCUUCAAUUUGAUCUCAGUAUCUACAGUUAAACACGCUGAGAAUGUGUUGAAAUAUCAGAUCUAUGUGUUUAGAUGGCCAUCACAUGUGUUCACAGACAAGUUAGGCUCUCACAGGUGUACAUUGACAACACAACUCUCCCUCAGUUCCCCCCACACACACUAAUGUAUGCUUGUGUGUGUGUGUGUGUGUGAGAGAGGACUAAAUUAUAGCCUAUGUGUUGCCAGGCUGUAAAUAGCAAGGCAUUAAUUAUCCCAAGCAUCUGAAUGUAAAUGAUGUGAAAUCACAGUUUCAGAUGACGAAAGGACGACAGACAGAACUUUUAUUAAACUCUCUUUAUAAGAAUAAUCUUUACAAGCAGUAUAGACAUCAUGAGGCGUUCAUAUCCAUCUCUUAUUUUACUCCAGAAUCAAAUCUAAUAUUUUCAUGUCAAGCCUGUUUUUAGGACCUUGAAACCCUUCAGUCCUUCUGUAAUGUGUGCAGGGUUUUAUUGUCAUACAUUUGAUCAACAUAAAUAACAUAUUAGCAUGCGUGUGUGUGUGUGUGUGUUAUGUGUGUCUCUGAGAAUGACUGUAAAUCCAGAGGUUUGGUUGUAAAAGCAGGUUUGAUGAGGUUUGACGUGAGACGCAGUGAAGCAUGAAGCAGCAUGAUUUGAUUUUGUAUUUUUCGUGUUUUGUUUUUCUUCAUAUUUUUGUUUGUUUGUUCUUUCUCUCCUUGUGUGUCACUCUUGUCAAGUUGGCUGACUACAGUGAUGAGGCCGCUCUGUUGGCUCCGAUGGAAGAUGAAAGCGUUGCAGUUCCAGAUGACAGAAAAGCUACUCUGGAUUUUCCGCCUCCUGCCGGACGGGAAAUUCUGCUCCGCACCCGCGUGCCGCGACCUGCCCC